GAUGAAGAACGCAGCGAAAUGCGAUAAGUAAUGUGAAUUGCAGAAUUCAGUGAAUCAUCGAAUCUUUGAACGCACAUUGCGCCCGCCAGUAUUCUGGCGGGCAUGCCUGUUCGAGCGUCAUUUCAACCAUCAAGCCCCAGGCUUGUGUUGGGGACCUGCGGCUGCCGCAGGCCCUGAAAACCAGUGGCGGGCUCGCUGUCACACCGGGCGUAGUAGAUUUUAUCUCGCUCAGGGCGUGCUGCGGGUUCCGGCCGUUAAAAAGCCUUUUACCCAAGGUUGACCUCGGAUCAGGUAGGAAGACCCGCUGAACUUAAGCAUAUCAAUAAGCGGAGGA
rnacentral:misc_RNA from 1 species